rnacentral:rRNA from 1 species
UGCGUAGGCGGGACUGCAAGUUGGAUGUGAAAUACCGAGGCUCAACCUCGGGACUGCAUCCAAAACUGUGGUUCUUGAGUGGAGUAGGGGUAAGCGGAAUUCCGAGUGUAGCGGUGAAAUGCGUAGAUAUUCGGAGGAACACCAGUGGCGAAGGCGGCUUACUGGGCUCUAACUGACGCUGAGGCACGAAAGCAUGGGGAGCAAACA